rnacentral:rRNA from 1 species
AUACGGAGGCUGCAAGCGUUGUUCGGAAUUACUGGGCGUAAAGCGCGCGUAGGUGGUCUGUUAUGUCAGAUGUGAAAGUCCACGGCUCAACCGUGGAAGUGCAUUUGAAACUGGCAGACUUGAGUACUGGAGGGGGUAGUGGAAUUCCCGGUGUAGAGGUGAAAUUCGUAGACAUCGGGAGGAAUACCGGUGGCGAAGGCGACUACCUGGCCAGAUACUGACACUGAGGUGCGAAAGCGUGGGGAGCGAACAGGAUUAGAAACCCUAGUAGUCC